CUGAUAUCCUGGAGCAGAGGGAUAACAGGGUGUUCGGUGGAAUUUCGGAAGAAACGGUGUUCUGGGAUACCACUCAUCUACACAAUGACAGUCAGACGGCCCUGCUUGGUGGCAAUAAAAGCUGCACAGAACAAACAAAACUGUACGGAACAGAAUCCUCCAACACUGGCAGACCAGGUCAGAUCCAUCGGUUACGGUGGAAUCGCGGAAAUCUAGGUCAUAAACAACGGGUGAAAUUACUUUCACAAUGGUAUACGGACCAGAGAACUUCGGAGCCAACUUGGCUGCAAAACUAUCAACGGCAGACGACAGCGGAUUAGCACGGCGCAGAACUCUAUCACCGACAUGGAAACGAACUUCUCUUCGACGGAGGUUGUAAUGGUGAGCUUGCUGCUCAAAUGCACGGUACAACCUGGUAUUGACAAACUCAUAGGCCUCUUGAAGAUGACGGAUUUGUUCUGUACGGUGAGUAAGAUUUACUCUAGUCUCUUCUGGGCUUCUAUUUGUCUCCUCGGUGUCAUCGUCUUGGGUGUUUGACGAGUAGAUUGCCUUUGGGACUGUUAGUUCCCUUCCAUAGUUCAGGAAUGCCGGUGUGAAUCCUGUAGAUUCUUG